AUUGCACGCUGGCGGCAGGCCUAACACAUGCAAGUCGAACGAGUGGCGGACGGGUGAAUAAUGUCUGGGAAACUGCCUGAUGGAGGGGGAUAACUACUGGAAACGGUAGCUAAUACCGCAUACCAUCGGAUGUGCCCAGAUGGGAUGAGCUAGUAGGUGUGGUAAAGGCUCACCUAGGCGACCAUCCCUAUCUGGUGUGAGAGGAUGACCAGACACACUGGAACUGCGAUACGGUCCAGACGCCUACGUGAGGCAGCAGUGGGGACGAAUGCACACUGGGCGCAAGCCUAAUGCAGCCGUGCCGCGUGUAUGAGGAAGGCCUUCGGGUUGUAAAGUACUUUCAGCGGGGAGGCGUUACCCGCAGAAGAAGCACCGGCUAACUCCGUGCCAGCAGCCGCGGUAAUUC
rnacentral:rRNA from 1 species